rnacentral:misc_RNA from 1 species
GGGGGGGGGAAGAGCAUUUAAAAUCAAUUCAACAAUAUGCACAAGAUGAAAUUCAUUGAUAGUCUAACAAUGCAAACUUCACAUGCAAACCUAUCUUGCCCCCCUCGGUUACUAAUUUAGCAGCUGUCACCAACCAAUGUCCAGGUGCAUCAUGCGGGCCUCGCACUACCUCAGCUGUCUCUACAUACUUAAGCAGCUUUCCAGAGCGAAUUGGAACAGGAGGACCAUCUGGAUAGACUCCAGAAUUAAGUGCAGCUGGAGGUUGCUUUUCUGGACCACUGAUGGUUCGCUGAGUGAACGUGAAAGUGGUGCUCAGAUUAGUGAGAAAACUUGACUUGUGAGACGCUUCUGGUGCAACAGCCCACUCUGUUUUCCUGAUGGCACAGUUCGGUAAGUGUGUGAACAGCAGACGAAGGUGAAGUACUGUCUUAGGCCACUUCCCUUUGCAAAGGAGCUGUGCACCAGUUACAAUAAAAACACCAGUUGAAUCUCCCUGCAGCCAGUUGGGAUCAUGCUUAACAACAGAUGUGCACACCCUAGAGUAUCUCUUCCAUCUAAUGGGUUCCAAGAACUGGUCACCAGAUUUAUAAUCAUCAGAGCCUCGCCACUGACAUGGCCUACAUAUGGUGGUGUCUCUUGAUGGGAAGGUCAUGAUAUUUGGAAGACUUGAAAGAUGCUGUAGAUGUAAUGCUAGUAGAUUGCAUUUCUUCCCUUCUAAGUACAAACGUAGGCCUACCACAGGUUUUUGAUCACUUGAAACCUGGGUAGAGCUAACAUAUAUUUUAGGACCCAUAAAGCUGAAUCUCAAGGAAGGGCAAGAAGCUUUUCUUCUUUGGUGUCGCAGAGGCAGCUCACAAAACAUAGGUGCCCAUUGCUUUGGAACUUGAAAUUCCAAGAAGUACUCUAGAUCCUCUGGAGCAGGCUUGUAACGGAGAUACAAGUUGAUAGCAUGACUAAGAUAACCACUGCCAGGAAUCCCAGUUAGAAGAGAAGUAAUAGGUACAAACUUGAAGAGAAUUGCUUCUGGUUUUAUAGGCACAGUCUGGAGCCAAUUGGAGUGAUGGCGUGAGAAUACAUCACCUCCUCUUUUUGAACAAAUGAUAGUGAGGCCAUCCUUGUUUGAUGUUUCUGCAAUGCUGGUCAAUGGCACCGUGUUUGAUUGCCGAAUAUGGCUAAAGACCUCAGGAACUUUUUGUUUGCUAUCUCUUGUAUUCCUUUGUAAUAGAGGUAGGCUUCUUGUAUCAGAAAAUAGAAAGUCCCCAAGAUCCUCCAAGUGCUUUCUGAGCUCAGCAGAAGGAAUUGGCGAGGUAGGUUUCUGUCUAACACAAAUUAAAUCUUGACCUCCCACAGCCAUCCCUACUAUUAUGUGUGUACCAUAUGUUCGGAUGAACCUGCCUAACAAAAUUAAUCAGCAUGCAUCAUCAAUGUGCCACACUAAUGCAGCUCAUAUAACCCUAGACAAUAAUACCUAAAGCAUUGCUUCUUUAUUUUACUUUUUAAUAUUAGGACAAGUGCAUAUAAUCCAGGAUUGUUAAAGUCAAUAACCCUUUCAAUUAAGUUAUUCUUGUCAGCUGAGAUUAGAGAUUUAUUUGAGCAAUAGGAUCUGAUUUUACCCAGUUUUUAUAUUUAUAGUAUAAAAGAGCUGCAGCUGAUAGCAAUAAUUAAUUAGCAGAAUUUUUAAGAAGUUAUUAAACCCAUUGGCUGAGAGUUUGGUCUCUUUGUUCUUUAGUUUCAAGUUCCCUUUUCUCUAUGUACAAUAUAAUUAAGGUUAGAAUUUGUUUGUUGCACGAGAAAAGAUCCUUCAAUAACAAAGUCUACAAGCAAGCAAAUUGUCCGCUACAAUGAGUUUUUUGAGAUAAUGGACACAAUAAAUAUUUCAUGGUUAGAAGAGAAAUACCCUCUUUGGGAAGCUAAGGCUAGUGUUAUGACUUCUAAAAGGAAGCACAAUCUUUUCAGUCAAUUAACGAGUUUAUUAUAUAUAUAUUAUUUCCUUUUGUGGUUGAAAGAAAGUUAAGUUACUGUACUUGAUGUAGAACAAAGAGAAAGAUCGAGGAAAUCAAGGACCAAUCCUUGAAA